AACGCUGGCGGCGCGCUUAACACAUGCAAGUCGAACGAGAAAGGGAGCAAUCCUGAGUAAAGUGGCGUACUGGUGAGUAACACGUGGAUAUCUACCUCUUGGUGGGGAAUAACCUGGGGAAACCUGGGCUAAUACCGCAUAAGUUCGUGAGAAGAAAGGCGCAAGUCGCCGAGAGAGGAGUCCGCGGUCGAUUAGGUAGUUGGCGGGGUAAGAGCCCACCAAGCCAAAGAUCGAUAGCCGGCCUGAGAGGGCACACGGCCACACUGGCACUGAAACACGGGCCAGACUCCUACGGGAGGCAGCAGUGGGGAAUCUUGCACAAUGGGGGAAACCCUGAUGCAGCGACGCCGCGUGAGCGAUGAAGCCCUUCGGGGUGUAAAGCUCUUUCGGCAGGAACGAUAAUGACGGUACCUGCAGAAGAAG
rnacentral:rRNA from 1 species